rnacentral:lncRNA from 1 species
AUGCUCAGAGAAAGUAGGUCACAAACACACAGUAUAUUAAUAACUAAGAAUAAGUGUAGAGCUCUUAAUUGUAAAACUUGGGGUUGUUUACAUGUUACCAAACUGCCUCUCAAGCAUCUUGAAGGAUUGGUUAGAAAAUAUAACCACUGGUCCAUUUAUUUCAUCCAGAAUUUAUUGGUGUGUAUACUGUCGAAAAAAUGCCUAUAAUGAAUCAGAUAUACAUAGACCAUGCACAUUACCUUAAACAUUGGUUUCUAAUCUUUCCAUUUGUGGGUUUCCUCCAUCUUUCUCAAUGCUCCACCUUGGUCUCCAUUUUGGACUACUCUCUUCCUGCUCAACUCAACUCCUCUCCAGGAUUCCACUAUGUCCUGUUGCAUUCCUGGUCUUCUACAAACUCUCACUGAGCCAUCUCAUCAUUACAUUUCCCUCAAGUAUCAAACACUGGUUAAUCGGAUGACUUUCACACUAGUAACUCCAGUCUAGAUCUCCAUUUUGAACCCAAGGACAAAUACCCAUUUCAAAUUGGAUACUUCUACCUAUAAAAUUCUAGUUAUUCUCUCAACUUACUCAUCAGUUGAGGGUUACUAAAGUAGGUUUUGUGUUCCUGCUUCUUGGAUCUCUACAAAUUUAUUCCUUCCCCAAUAUUGCCUUGUCUAAUUUCAUCAACACCAGUAAAGGCACUGACUUAAAAAUGGACUCGUCACCAUCAGAGCAGAAGGAGGAACUUAGCUACUUGUUCACUGGAACAUAAAAGUUACUGUUGGGUUGGCCAAAAAGUUCAUUCAGGGUUUCCUGUACAACUUACGGAAAAUCCUGGAUGAACUUUUUGGCCCGACCCAAUACACAUAAACUUCUUAGCAGAGACAUUCUAGUAAGGCAGAUGGGGGUGUCAGCAAGAUACUCUUCAUAACUUCAAGUCUGCAUGCUGAGAAUGAAAUUGGGAGAAGUGUAAUUAAUGAGAUUAGCCAUCUGGACAAGAAAUGUCCCUCAGUAAUGAAUGGCUAAAGUGUUUCAGGAACAUCCAGGCUCAGUAACCUCAGUGUCCUCAGAAAAUCAUUAGCUUAUCUAAGAUUGUAGUUAAUCAAGACAUGAAGUUUGGAGACAGACAGAUAGUUUAAAUUCAAGCUAAUAUACUUCUGUCAUUUUGUUCAACCUAUCUAACUUUUCUAGCCUCAGUUUUCUCAUANNNNNNNNNNNNNNNNNNNNNNNNNNNNNNNNNNNNNNNNNNNNNNNNNNNNNNNNNNNNNNNNNNNNNNNNNNNNNNNNNNNNNNNNNNNNNNNNNNNGUAAAAUAAGGUUAGUGGUACUUCAUAUAAUUACAAAGAUUAGGUGAGUGAAUUUAUACCUAGCCUGUACACAAUAUGUCUGGAGAAGGGAAUGUCAAUCCACUCCAGUGUUCUUGCCUAGAGAAUUCCAUAGACAGAGAAACCUGGCGGGCUACAGUUCAUGGGGUCGCAAAGAGUCAGACAUGACUGAGCGACUAACACACACACAUACAGAGAAUGUAUCAAUAAAGCAUUAUGGAGGCUAGAAUUAUAGCUGGAGGAAUAGUACUAAAUGAGGUAGAAAUUCUUUAUCAUUGAUUGUUUUAAUGUGCAAAUAAGAAUUAGCAUGAAGCAUAAAAAAUGAUGUCUAGCGGUAGCUACGACCUAUACUAUAAAACUGUCCCCAACAUGUGUAGGUCUAAAUGAGAUAGUUCUCUUUCUCUCUUUUUUUUUCUUUUUAAAUUACAUACCAAUGACUCAUUUAUUUUAUAACUGGAGGUUCAUACCUUUCACCUACUUAACUCAUUUUGCCCACCCUCUACCUCUGGCAACUACCAAUCUGUUCUCUGUAUCUGUGAGUUUGUUUUUUCUUUGUUUGUCUUGAUAUUCCACAUNAACUACCAAUCUGUUCUCUGUAUCUGUGAGUUUGUUUUUUCUUUGUUUUGUUUGUCUUGAUAUUCCACAUAUAAGUGAGAUCAUACAGUGUUUAUCUUCCUCUGUCUGACUUAUUUCACUUAGCAUAAUGCCCUCAAUGUCCUCUAUAUUGUCACAAGUGAUAAAAAUCCAUUCUUUUGUGUGGCUGAAUAGUAGUCCAUUGUAUAGAUAUACCACAACUUCUUUAUCUGUUCAUCCAUCAGUGGACAUUUAGAUUCUAUCCAUGAGCCAGUUCUCCUGGUACAUAGAUUCCUACAUUCUUCUUUGGGUUACCAUAGCUCAGUAACCAUGAAAAUCAUCCAAUUAACUAUUUUUAUACUGAUUCUGUGAUCAUCAACCAAUGUACUAUUUGUAAUUUGACUUCUAGGGAACCUUCUUAUCUAGAGAAAAUAUGUUGAAUAUCCCACCAUCCAGUCCUUGUGACCGGUAUACAUUCUAUUAUAAAACACUGGCAUUCUGGAUUAGGCACCAAUUUAUUGUGAAUUGAUUUGGUAGAGUUCAUCCCUGAGAGACUGGUUAUCUGUGUGCAAAUUGACACUGUCACAUAAGAAAUAUACACAGGUAUCCCUUGGAGAUAUGGCAUGUUUUGUUCCAGACCACAAAAAUAAAGCAAGCAUCACAAUAAAGCAAGUUACAUGAAUAUUUUUUGCUUAUCUAAUGCACAGAAAAGUUAUGUCUUUGUACUAUAGUCUAUUAAGUGUGCAAUAGCACAAUGCCUUAAAAACAUAUGCAUACUUUAAUUUAAAAAUACUUCAGUGCUAAAAUUUAACUAUAUCUGAGAACAUAUAACAAUAAUGAAAAAGUUUGAAAUAUUCCAAGAAUUACCAAAAUGUGACAUUGAGAAAUGAACU